AGGACGAACGCUGGCGGCGUGCCUAACACAUGCAAGUCGAGCGGGGACAUGCGACGGAUCGGAAGUUUCGGAUGGAAGAGAAGAUGUAUGUUCUAGCGGCGGACGGGUGAGUAACGCGUGAGCAACCUGUCCUUCACAGGGGGAUAACACAGCGAAAGUUGUACUAAUACCGCAUAAGACCACAACGGGACAUCCCGAAGGGGUCAAAGGAGCAAUCCGGUGAAGGGUGGGCUCGCGUCCGAUUAGAUAGUUGGUGAGGUAACGGCCCACCAAGUCGACGAUCGGUAGCCGACCUGAGAGGGUGAUCGGCCACAUUGGGACUGAGACACGGCCCAAACUCCUACGGGAGGCAGCAGUGGGGAAUAUUGGGCAAUGGGGGGAAACCCUGACCCAGCAACGCCGCGUGAGGGAAGAAGGUUUUCGGAUCGUAAACCUCUGUCCUUGGUGAAGAGGAAGAGACGGUAGCCAAGGAGGAAGCCCCGGCUAACUACGUGCCAGCCGCGGC
rnacentral:rRNA from 1 species